rnacentral:rRNA from 1 species
UACGGAGGGUGCAAGCGUUAUCCGGAUUCACUGGGCUUAAAGGGUGCGUAGGCGGAUAUUUAAGUCAGUGGUGAAAUCUCCAGGCUCAACCUGGAAACUGCCAUUGAUACUAUUUAUCUUGAAUUCUGUUGAGGUGGGCGGAAUACAUCAUGUAGCGGUGAAAUGCUUAGAUAUGAUGUAGAACACCGAUUGCGAAGGCAGCUCACUAAACAGACAUUGACGCUGAGGCACGAAAGCGUGGGGAUCAAACAGG